rnacentral:rRNA from 1 species
UACGUAGGCAGCAAGCGUUGUUCGGAGUUACUGGGCGUAAAGAGUGCGUAGGCGGUGCUCCAAGUCUGUUGUGAAAUCUCCCGGCUUAACUGGGAGGGUGCGGUGGAAACUGGGGUGCUUGAGUGUGGGAGAGGUAAGCGGAAUUCCUGGUGUAGCGGUGAAAUGCGUAGAGAUGUGGAGGAACACCAGUGGCGAAGGCGACUUCCUGGCCUAUAACUGACGCUGAGGCGCGAAAGCGUGGGGAGCAAACAGG